GGGUUGUGAGGUUAAGCGACUAAGCGUACACGGUGGAUGCCCUGGCAGUCAGAGGCGAUGAAGGACGUGCUAAUCUGCGAUAAGCGUCGGUAAGGUGAUAUGAACCGUUAUAACCGGCGAUUUCCGAAUGGGGAAACCCAGUGUGAUUCGUCACACUAUCAUUAACUGAAUCCAUAGGUUAAUGAGGCGAACCGGGGGAACUGAAACAUCUAAGUACCCCGAGGAAAAGAAAUCAACCGAGAUUCCCCCAGUAGCGGCGAGCGAACGGGGAGCAGCCCAGAGCCUGAAUCAGUGUGUGUGUUAGUGGAAGCGUCUGGAAAGGCGCGCGAUACAGGGUGACAGCCCCGUACACAAAAAUGCACAUGCUGUGAGCUCGAUGAGUAGGGCGGGACACGUGGUAUCCUGUCUGAAUAUGGGGGGACCAUCCUCCAAGGCUAAAUACUCCUGACUGACCGAUAGUGAACCAGUACCGUGAGGGAAAGGCGAAAAGAACCCCGGCGAGGGGAGUGAAAAAGAACCUGAAACCGUGUACGUACAAGCAGUGGGAGCACGCUUAGGCGUGUGACUGCGUACCUUUUGUAUAAUGGGUCAGCGACUUAUAUUCUGUAGCAAGGUUAACCGAAUAGGGGAGCCGAAGGGAAACCGAGUCUUAACUGGGCGUUAAGUUGCAGGGUAUAGACCCGAAACCCGGUGAUCUAGCCAUGGGCAGGUUGAAGGUUGGGUAACACUAACUGGAGGACCGAACCGACUAAUGUUGAAAAAUUAGCGGAUGACUUGUGGCUGGGGGUGAAAGGCCAAUCAAACCGGGAGAUAGCUGGUUCUCCCCGAAAGCUAUUUAGGUAGCGCCUCGUGAAUUCAUCUCCGGGGGUAGAGCACUGUUUCGGCAAGGGGGUCAUCCCGACUUACCAACCCGAUGCAAACUGCGAAUACCGGAGAAUGUUAUCACGGGAGACACACGGCGGGUGCUAACGUCCGUCGUGAAGAGGGAAACAACCCAGACCGCCAGCUAAGGUCCCAAAGUCAUGGUUAAGUGGGAAACGAUGUGGGAAGGCCCAGACAGCCAGGAUGUUGGCUUAGAAGCAGCCAUCAUUUAAAGAAAGCGUAAUAGCUCACUGGUCGAGUCGGCCUGCGCGGAAGAUGUAACGGGGCUAAACCAUGCACCGAAGCUGCGGCAGCGACGCUGAUGCGUUGUUGGGUAGGGGAGCGUUCUGUAAGCCUGCGAAGGUGUGCUGUGAGGCACGCUGGAGGUAUCAGAAGUGCGAAUGCUGACAUAAGUAACGAUAAAGCGGGUGAAAAGCCCGCUCGCCGGAAGACCAAGGGUUCCUGUCCAACGUUAAUCGGGGCAGGGUGAGUCGACCCCUAAGGCGAGGCCGAAAGGCGUAGUCGAUGGGAAACAGGUUAAUAUUCCUGUACUUGGUGUUACUGCGAAGGGGGGACGGAGAAGGCUAUGUUGGCCGGGCGACGGUUGUCCCGGUUUAAGCGUGUAGGCUGGUUUUCCAGGCAAAUCCGGAAAAUCAAGGCUGAGGCGUGAUGACGAGGCACUACGGUGCUGAAGCAACAAAUGCCCUGCUUCCAGGAAAAGCCUCUAAGCAUCAGGUAACAUCAAAUCGUACCCCAAACCGACACAGGUGGUCAGGUAGAGAAUACCAAGGCGCUUGAGAGAACUCGGGUGAAGGAACUAGGCAAAAUGGUGCCGUAACUUCGGGAGAAGGCACGCUGAUAUGUAGGUGAAGUCCCUCGCGGAUGGAGCUGAAAUCAGUCGAAGAUACCAGCUGGCUGCAACUGUUUAUUAAAAACACAGCACUGUGCAAACACGAAAGUGGACGUAUACGGUGUGACGCCUGCCCGGUGCCGGAAGGUUAAUUGAUGGGGU
rnacentral:rRNA from 1 species